GGAUAACCCUGGGAAACUGGGGAUAAUACUGGAUAGGCAAUUUUUCCUGUAAUGGUUUUUUGUUUAAAUGUUUUUUCGCCUAAGGAUGGGUCUGCGGCCGAUUAGGUAGUUGGUUAGGUAAUGGCUUACCAAGCCGUUGAUCGGUACGGGUUGUGAGAGCAAGAGCCCGGAGAUGGAACCUGAGACAAGGUUCCAGGCCCUACGGGGUGCAGCAGGCGCGAAACCUCCGCAAUGUGAGAAAUCGCGACGGGGGGAUCCCAAGUGCCAUUCUUAACGGGAUGGCUUUUCAUUAGUGUAAAGAGCUUUUGGAAUAAGGGCUGGGCAAGACCGGUGCCAGCCGCCGCGGUAACACCGGCAGCUCUAGUGGUAGCAGUUUUUAUUGGGCCUAAAGCGUCCGUAGCCGGUUUAAUAAGUCUCUGGUGAAAUCCUGUAGCUUAACUGUGGGAAUUGCUGGAGAUACUAUUAGACUUGAGACCGGGAGAGGUUAGAGGUACUCCCAGGGUAGAGGUGAAAUUCUGUAAUCCUGGGAGGACCGCCUGUUGCGAAGGCGUCUAACUGGAACGGUUCUGACGGUGAGGGACGAAAGUUAGGGGCGCGAACCGGAUUAGAUACCCGGGUAGUCCUAACUGUAAACGAUGCGGACUUGGUGUUGGGGUGGCUUUGAGCUGCUCCAGUGCCGAAGGGAAGCUGUUAAGUCCGCCGCCUGGGAAGUACGGUCGCAAGACUGAAACUUAA
rnacentral:rRNA from 1 species